CAGUGGAGAUUAACUACUUCAUCAAGUGGGUAACUUUCUAACGUUUCUUGUCAUUUCUGUUUUAGUGGAAAGUAAACGUAUUCCAUUCCAGAUGAUUGCUGUGUGUCAAGUUGCCGGGGAGUGUGCAAAAGGGUCCGGGCAGUUGAGGGUAAUUCACUGUGUCCAUGCCUUUUUAACAAUUUAAGAAGGUUGUCAAGUGCAUUGUGUUUUAUCUGGUAUUCAAUGGCCCAAGUGGACAGCUCUUCUGCCAGUGACAUGUCCUCACUGUCGUCGUCUUCAAGAGUGCAAAUGGUGUUCAGUGUCAGAUGAAUAUCCCCCACAAUUCUGCUCCAUAUCCACUGACAUUACUACUCCGUCAGCACCUUCUGAUUGUUCUUCAAGUGGAAGAUCAAGUGAUUGUACUUCACCGGCUGGAUUAGUCUCCAGGUGAGAUGGCGAUCUGGACAAUGCCUGCCUUGUGGUUCUCCAAGCAUGCACAUAUGUCCUGUGCAUCUCUCUCUUUUCAGAGCUCAUUCUAGGA